rnacentral:misc_RNA from 1 species
GCCUGAUUCCGCAGUCAGCUAAUAUUCUCUACAAAUGAAUUAGGUUCAUGAAAGCUUUCAGCUGGGCUCAUCAGCUGAGAUGAAUGUGAGGAACAGUGUAAGGUUUUGCAAAUUACGUCACGGGGAUUCUCUCAGCUGAAAAAUGGUGAAGCUUGUUAUGUUUGAUCUCGGGGGUGUCAUCAUUACAAGUCCUAUCUUUGCAUUUCAGAAAUAUGCGUGGGAAAAAGGAAUUGCGAGAGAGGUGAUAAUAAAAAGCUUCAUUGACAAUGCAAAAAGACUUGAAACAGGUCAAGUUUCCCUUUCUCAGUUCUGCUCUGAAAUGGAUGCAAUGUAUGCAGAGUAUGCUUCAAAACAAGGGAGUGAUCUCUACAAGUCUAUAAGCUUCCAAGACAUUAUAGAUGAGUACUCCUCAUCAGCAAAAGUAAUUCCAGAAAUGCUUAAUGCUGCAACAGCUCUGAGGAAGCACGGUAUCAAGACUUGUAUCCUGACAAAUAAUUGGACCAACGACUUAGUGAAGAACUUCAGAUCAUUGCCUUUUCCACAAUUACUUCACUACUUUGAUGAGGUGUUUGAAUCAUGUAAAAUUGGUCUCAGUAAACCUGACCCAGAUAUUUAUACACAUGUCUGCUCAAAGAUGGGAGUGCAACCUUCAGAGGUGAUAUUUCUGGAUGAUUCCCCUCAAAAUCUCAAACCAGCAAAAGGAAUGGGAAUGUUAACCAUUCUUGUGAAAAAUCCUGUUACAGCUCUCAGUGAUCUUAAAAAGAUAACAGGAAUUGAUGUUUUUCAGCAGUAUGCAGUGGAACCUUGUGCUCCUCAUGAUGCUGUUCACUGCUACAUCAAUCUUAAGACAGGUAUCAGGAUGCAUUAUGUGGAAAUGGGACAUGGACCUGUUGUUAUUUUGCUUCAUGGUUUCCCUGAAUUGUGGUAUAUUUGGAAAUAUCAGAUCACAGCUCUGGCCCUUGCUGGAUACAGAGUCAUUGCCCCAGAUCUUCGAGGGAUGGGGCAAACAUCAAGUCCAUAUGAGCUUGAGGCCUAUGGAAGGGAACAUGUGUGUGCUGACAUUGUUGCUCUGAUGAAUUCAUUGUACAUUCAACAAGCCACAGUAGUGGGUCGUGAUCUUGGCGGUUUUAUUGCCUGGGACCUUAGCCUUCAUUACCCUGAGAGGAUCCUGGCUGUGAUAAACAUGACACCAUUCAUUCCCUCUUUUUCAACCAUGAACCCACUGGAAAGACUGCAAGCCAACCCAGGAGUGUAUCAGUAUCAACUUUACUUUCACAAGGAGGGUGUUCCAGAGAAAGAACUUGAGAGAGACUUUGAAAGAACAUUUGUCAUGCUAAUGAGAGGCGCUAAUGAUCAUCAGAAACUGAAAUGGAGUACCUAUGAUGUGCUUGAAAGAGGUGGACUUUUUACUGGGCUGCCAGAAAAAGUGGAGAAAAGCUGGAUUCUAACUAAUGAUGUCUUGAAGUAUUUGGUGGAAAUGUACAACAAGACAGGUUUUAGGUUAGAAACAACUCAAGAUAAGGGGGCCAUUGAAUUGGUACAGAACAAUGGAAAAAGACUGGAAAUGGAAUUGUAAGGUAUCUGGCCGUAAGGUGCAACAACCAAGUUUAAUGAUCACAGUAGGAAGGGAUGUCCUCAUAAAACCUCAGUUCUGUGUCAAAAUGGAUCAAUGGAUUCCUAGACUAGACAGAGCACACAUAGAGGAGGCAUCACAUUGGGUAACACUUGAAUG